CAAUAGCGUAUAUUAAAGUUGUUGCAGUUAAAAAGCUCGUAGUUGGAUUUCUGGUGGGAGCGAUCGGUCUGGCGCUUAGCGCGAGUACUUGCAUCGUCUCCGGCCAUCCUUGGGGAGAGUCUGUCUGGCAUUAGGUUGUCGGGCAGAGGAUCCUCAUCGUUUACUGUGAAAAAAUUAGAGUGUUCAAAGCAGGCUUAUGCUGUUGAAUAUAUUAGCAUGGAAUAAUAAGAUAGGACUUUGGUACUAUUUUGUUGGUUUGCGCACCAAAGUAAUGAUUAAUAGGGACAGUUGGGGGUAUUCGUAUUCCGUUGUCAGAGGUGAAAUUCUUGGAUUUACGGAAGACGAACUACUGCGAAAGCAUUUACCAAGGAUGUUUUCAUUNA
rnacentral:rRNA from 1 species